rnacentral:lncRNA from 1 species
UGCCCGCAUCCUCCUUCCUUAUGACACCGCUAUGAGGUGAAAUAGAGCCAAGCAACCAGCAUAGCAACAAACGCUUUGGUUCAUUAUGUAAUCCGGUAAGAAUUUUGCAAGUUCUAGCAACAGCCCUAGCAACAGAAGCUAAAACUCAUCGAAUCCCAUUGUGACAUAGAGGGGGACUCUAUUUGGUCGGGGGACACUAUUUGGCAAGACAGGCCCCAUUUAAAAAAAACUAGUGUGACAGGUCAGUCAAGGCCUCAUUUCACCAAAGUGAUUCUCGUCUUGAAGCACAGUUCUGUCCUACGGAACAUUUGCUUUUCAAUAAAUGUGCUUUACUGCAAGGUGCUGGUGUGAAAUAGCAUUCUAUUCAGCGGUUCUGGGUGAAAGACAAAUAUAAAUUGGGCUGGGAAGUAGGCCAGGUGGCCAGGGACAGGCAGGGGAUGGCACAGUACAGCUCGGCACAGCACAUGGGGAAGGAUGAUGUAGCCUAGCAGUGUAGCACAUCUGGAAAGACUGACUGCUGAUGCCACAACCACAUUUUUCUGCAUGAGAAAACUUCUACAUAAACAAACCUACUUCUAGUGUGAAAGAAGGCUAUAACUCCACAUUUCCUAUUCUUUUUUUA